GACAGAGGGGGCAAGCGUUGCUCGGAAUCACUGGGCGUAAAGGGCGCGUAGGCGGGAUGGCAAGUCGGUCGUGAAAUCCUUCGGCUCAACCGAAGAACGUCGGCCGAUACUGCCGUUCUUGAGGGAUGCAGAGGAGAUUGGAAUUCCCGGUGUAGCGGUGAAAUGCGUAGAUAUCAGGAGGAACACCGGUGGUGUAGACGGCUUUCUGGACCGUAACUGACGCUGAGACACGAAAGCGUGGGUAGCAAACAGG
rnacentral:rRNA from 1 species